AGAAAAAGAAGGAAGACACUCAUCGCGUUAAAAAUAAGAGUCAAAUCUGAAAAAAUUUAUUUUCAAUGGACGGAAUGUCAAAAGAGACUAUUUGCAGCUACCUUUCAGAGCUUUAUAGCUCGUGAUAAAGGAUUCCCAAGUCGUGAUAAAAUGAACCUUUUUGCUGAUAAAAACGUAAUUGCAUUCGAACGCGUAUUGUAAACGAACGUGCACUAAGAAAAAAUAAAGAAAAUGUAUAUCUUAAGCAGCAUAUGGCUAUGAGAUUGUA